rnacentral:rRNA from 1 species
GACGAACGCUGGCGGCGUGCCUAAUACAUGCAAGUCGAGCGAAGUUUUUCUGGUGCUUGCACCGGAAAAACUUAGCGGCGAACGGGUGAGUAACACGUAAAGAACCUGCCUUAUAGACUGGGACAACUAUUGGAAACGAUAGCUCAUACCGGAUAACAGCAUUAACUGCAUGGUUGAUGUUUGAAAGUUGGUUUUGCUAACACUAUGAGAUGGCUUUGCGGUGCAUUAGCUAGUGGGUGGGGUAAAGGCUUACCAAGGCGACGAUGCAUAGCCGACCUGAGAGGGUGAUCGGCCACACUGGGACUGAGACACGGCCCAGACUCCUACGGGAGGCAGCAGUAGGGAAUCUUCCGCAAUGGGCGAAAGCCUGACGGAGCAACGCCGCGUGAGUGAAGAAGGAUUUCGGUUCGUAAAGCUCUGUUGUUAGGGAAGAAUGAUUGUGUAGUAACUAUACACAGUAGAGACGGUACCUAACCAGAAAGCCACGGCUAACUACGUG